CUCCCUUUUGCACCCAGCUCUUGCCCUGCAAGUGUGACCUCUGUGGGCUUCCUUAUCUUAGUACCUGUGCCCUUUGGCUCUCAGCUGGGGUUAGCAGGUAAAAAGCCUGGCAGAAGACUGGAGGGAUCAAGCCCAGGCCUGAGGCAAGAAGCACUACACCACUGAGUGACAUCCCCAAUUCAAUGAAUGCCUGCUUAGAAAGGAAUUCUUUUCCAAAAAGGAAUGAAAUUUUAAUACAUGCUACAACAUGGACAAAACUUGAAGACAUUAUGCCAAGUCAGAAACAAAAGAUGUGCCCAGAUAAAUUAUUCACCAUUGGUUCCAUGUCUGUAGAUUUUCCUUCUAUGUGACACUUAGACUGAUAUGCUACUAAGAUAUGCUUGAAUCUCCAUUUCCAGUUUAAGAACAGUCUGUUGUCUUCCCCAAUGCUUCUGUCCGGU